rnacentral:rRNA from 1 species
UACGGAGGGAGCUAGCGUCGUUCGGAAUUACUGGGCGUAAAGCGCACGUAGGCGGCUUUGUAAGUUAGAGGUGAAAGCCCGGGGCUCAACCCCGGAAUUGCCCUUAAGACUGCAUCGCUUGAAUCCGGGAGAGGUGAGUGGAAUUCCGAGUGUAGAGGUGAAAUUCGUAGAUAUUCGGAAGAACACCAGUGGCGAAGGCGGCUCACUGGACCGGUAUUGACGCUGAGGAGCGAAAGCCAGGGGAGCAAACGGG